rnacentral:lncRNA from 13 species
UUAAGUUGUCAUGGCAACUCCAUGUGGCUUCUGUCUCUCCUCCUGGGAUUCCUUGUGCUGGACAAGGCAUGCUUUUAAAUGUGGAUAGAACCAGUGGCUGUACAAUUAAAUUUUUCCAAUUUAUUUUCAGGACAGAGAGGUUUGCAGUGUAGGUCUGGCUUUAUACCCUUACUUAAGAAGACAUCUUCUGGGUCCUCAAGGAUUGGAAGGAACCUAGUUAGCCGCAUAGUAAAAUCUGUACUUUGUGGCCACCAGAAGUUUGACAGCAAGUGCAUCUCAUCUUGGCAUUCUUUCCCCAUGAACCUGGUCCCACCUUGGUUCCUGGUACUGCCACCAGACUGGAGUCAUUGA